GGGGCAAGACAACUUUUUUUCGGUUUCCUUUGCGGUCAUCAAACUUUUUAGGGGAUGGGGGAAGGGAUGGGAAGCGGCUGGGAGGAAAGGGAGUGGCUGGACUUGUGUGAAGCGAAGGGGUUGCAAGACGCUCCCCCUUCCCUUUUCUUUUUUAUUGGGGGUGGUGGUAGUGUUUGAGGACAUUGCGUCACCUCUCUUCGGGGUGGAGGGGGGGAAUCUCUGCUUAUAGGAGUGUAUUUUGUGAGGAAGAAAACCCAUAAAAUAUCCACGACCUUGCAGCUGUUAAGAAUCCAGACUUUUCAGUCCCAGGGCGGGGCUGCCUUUCCCCCCAUCCCGCUCCCUUUCUUUGGACUAAAGGGUACUGACUCGGGACUCCCUUAUUUUGUCUUCACAGCUCCCUGUUCGGACUUCUUCCCUUCUCAGCGCUGUGCCUGUCUGGCUCUGAGAAAGGGCCAGCGGGCGAACGGGGAGCAAAGGGGAACAGAGACCUUUAAUGAGCUUCUACUAAGUACCGGGAGUUCCGCGGGGCGCUUUGCAGAUCCCGGGGAAGUUCAGAGAAUGAAGUUUUCUUUUGCAAGGACAAAGUAACAGUUUACUUUUUUACACAUGCAGGAAAGCCUUCCUUUCCUGGGGAUGGGACGCCCGUUUCCACUGAAAGUGAAAUCACUGUGAACAACCUGAAAAUUGGAAAGUUGGACCAGCUGUGGGGAGAGAAAGGUCUUCGUGUCCUUUCCCACGUUCACCGUGCCAGUUACACACAAAGCAGAGAUUUUUUUGCUUGAAUCAUUAAAAGCCGGGUGGGUGGGGGGCACCCUA
ensembl:lncRNA FN1-DT FN1 divergent transcript